rnacentral:rRNA from 1 species
AGAGAGUAGCUUGCUACUUUGCUGACGAGCGGCGGACGGGUGAGUAAUGCUUGGGAAUAUGCCUUUUGGUGGGGGACAACAGUUGGAAACGACUGCUAAUACCGCAUAAUGUCUACGGACCAAAGUGGGGGACCUUCGGGCCUCACGCCAAAAGAUUAGCCCAAGUGGGAUUAGCUAGUUGGUUAGGUAAUGGCUUACCAAGGCAACGAUCCCUAGCUGGUUUGAGAGGAUGAUCAGCCACACUGGGACUGAGACACGGCCCAGACUCCUACGGGAGGCAGCAGUGGGGAAUAUUGCACAAUGGGCGCAAGCCUGAUGCAGCCAUGCCGCGUGUGUGAAGAAGGCCUUCGGGUUGUAAAGCACUUUCAGUAAGGAGGAAAGGGUAGUCUUUAAUAGAGGCUAUCUGUGACGUUACUUACAGAAGAAGCACCGGCUAACUCCGUGCCAGCAGCCGCGGUAAUACGGAGGGUGCGAGCGUUAAUCGGAAUUACUGGGCGUAAAGCGUACGCAGGCGGUUUGUUAAGCGAGAUGUGAAAGCCCCGGGCUCAACCUGGGAACUGCAUUUCGAACUGGCAAACUAGAGUGUGAUAGAGGGUGGUAGAAUUUCAGGUGUAGCGGUGAAAUGCGUAGAGAUCUGAAGGAAUACCGAUGGCGAAGGCAGCCACCUGGGUCAACACUGACGCUCAUGUACGAAAGCGUGGGGAGCAAACAGGAUUAGAUAC